GGUUCUGCUGGCUACUAUUGAUGAAGCUGCGAUCGUUUGUACCAUGGAGCAACCUGCUGUUUCCACCGUCAUUGAUUUUUCUAUCUGACUGCCCAUCAGGGAGUACCCACUAGAAUCUCUUCAGGAAGAGGGCAGAGAUUGAGAGAGAAAGAGACAGAGAAAACUCCCCUCUGCUGGAACUAACCAAUUCACAGACUCGGGAGCUGAACUCCAUGGACGUCUACCAUGCUGCCAGGAACUCAAGGUCAUGAGCCAUCUUCUGCCGCUUCUCAGAGUUUCAAAUAGCAGCAAACUGGAGUGGAACUAGAGGAUCUGGGACUUGAACCAGACCAUCGAUGGUUCUAAAAGCAACAGAUGUCAGCUCCCCGUUUUCCUCUCUCACACUAGAGGGACAAUUGGAGUUUGGACAG